rnacentral:lncRNA from 1 species
UCUUGGGGGACCACAGAGGUGGGAUUCAUGCCUUGAUUUGCACAAACGCUAAAGGCUCCGACCCCACAGCUGGGGCCGCGUGGGCAGCACAGUUAUGUGGGCGGGCGCUGCCGCUGCAGGGCAGGCAGCUAAGGAACUGCGCUUCCUCCCUCCUGGGCGUCAGAGUCCUCUGUAAAAGGGAAAUGGCAGAGGGAGAAGAGGCCAUGGUGACCCAGGCUUUCUGCUACCACCAGUGGUGCCAGAGGAAAGCAUAUCUGGGACUCCAGCCCGCAAGCCCCGAGGAAAACAGCUCCGUACUUCCUCUGUACCAGAGAUACCAAUCAAAGCCAACACUCCGCAGAGCAGCAGCAGACAAACAAAUCCAGCGGGCAGGAAGGGAGUUCCCCUCAGUGUCGGGCCUUCCCUUUUUCCUGUCCCAGCUCUGAAGCGGGGCCCUGUGCGGUUAGGGCCCCAGGCCUUUGAACUCCUUGUGGUUAGGAUCGGACAUGGAUUACAUAGACCCUUAGAGCAAGCUAAGUGUCCACUCUACUCACAGUGCAUACACAAGCAGAUUAUACCCAUUAUAUUGUAUGAAAAGAAACAAAAGUAAAAGCCGGGUAUGCUGCUCAACCUGUAAUCCCAGCAGCACUCAGGAGGCUGAGGCAGGAAGAUUGCCUAGAGUUCGAGGCCACCCUGGGCUACAUAGUGAGACUGUCUCAAAAGCAAACAAACAAACAAUCUUUAAGGUUCACGUAAUCAGAUGUGGAUCCAAGUAACCUUUGCAAAAUGCCUGAAAGGUAGGCAUUGUCACCUACCUGGCCCAGAAAACAGCGCUGGGGAAAAAGGUCUCGUUGGAGCGCCACCUAGUGUGGUUUAGUGGUAACUACAAGUAAAUUUAAAGAUGUAGAAUGGGUUUUUUAUGAAAUGUAGUUUAUAUUUAAGUGUUUAUAUUUAAGAAAUAUACAUGCCUACUGAUAAAUCGUGAGACCCCAUCUGCCACCUAAAACUGACAGAUCGGUGGUCAUUCUUAAAGCUUGGGAGACAGGUUUCACUGUGACGUUCCUGUUCAAUCCUCCUCUAUAUCCUAGAGAAAAUGUUGGGCUUGCUCUGCCUCAGUUUCCUGUCUGAUCUGGUCCUCCACCUCCGCCGGUGAGGAGGCCAUCUUAGCUCUUGAGAUUCCCCACUCUCACCUUUCCAGGCUGAGACUGAUGGCUCAGGAGCGAACUCGAAAUAAUUCAAGGUGAGCCUGAGAAGAAAAGACUUCCUCUCCUGGCCUCUCCAGUGUCCCUCUAAC